rnacentral:snRNA from 1 species
AUACUUACCUGGUGCUGGGCGGCCCCUAAUCAGGGAGGGGAAUGGAAGGCCUCCGGGCGGAGGCCUUCCAUUGCACUUCGGUUGGCUGAAACCUGCCACUUUCCCAAACUGGGAUCGCUGGAGCAUGCAAUUUUUGGUAGUGGGGGAGUGGCGUGCGCGUCAUUCUCCU